GAUCCUGGCUCAGAGCGAACGUUAGCGGCAGGCUUAACACAUGCAAGUCGAGCGAGAAAGGGGUUUCGGCCCCAAGUAAAGCGGCGGACGGGUGCGUAACACGUGGAUAAUCUGCCUCGUGCGGGGAUAACAGCCCGAAAGGACUGCUAAUACCGCAUGUCACGAUGAAGGUCUCGGCCUUCAUCGAAAAAGAGGGCGCCGCAAGGGCUCUCACCACGAGAUGAGUCCGCGUCCCAUCAGCUAGUUGGCGGUGUAAUGGACCACCAAGGCUUAGACGGGUAGCUGGUCUGAGAGGAUGGCCAGCCACACUGGGACUGAGACACGGCCCAGACUCCUACGGGAGGCAGCAGUGGGGAAUAUUGGACAAUGGGCGAAAGCCUGAUCCAGCCAUGCCGCGUGAGUGAUGAAGGUCUUCGGAUCGUAAAGCUCUGUGGGAAGGGACGAAAAAAGCGUGACCUAA
rnacentral:rRNA from 1 species